rnacentral:lncRNA from 1 species
GCGGCUAGAGAGGCAGUUUGACAUAAAUAGGAGUCAGUUUUCGAUCCGAUUUGGGUUCCGAGGCUUAUAAACUCACCCUGUGGCAAUAGAGAUGGGUAUGGUGGUUCUGUGGAGACCUAAACCGUGGAGCAGAGGGCAGCGGUAGCUAACAGAAAGUAGAACUAUAGGAUGCUUCAGACAAACUGUCAGACAGCGAACAUCGAUUAAUUU